rnacentral:rRNA from 1 species
AUUGAACGCUGGCGGCAGGCUUAACACAUGCAAGUCGAGCGAGCGGCGGAAGGGUGAGUAAUGUCUGGGAAACUGCCUGAUGGAGGGGGAUAACUACUGGAAACGGUAGCUAAUAACGCAUACAAUCAGAUGUGCCCAGAUUGGAUGAGCGAGUAGGAGGGGUAAUGGCUCACCAAGGCGACGCGCCCUAGCUGGUCUGAGAGGAUGACCAGCCACACUGGAACUGGGACACGUUCCAGACUCCUACGUGAGGCAGCAGUGGGGAAUAUUGCACAAUGGGCGAAAGCCUGAUGCAGCCAUGCCGCGUGUGUGAAGAAGGCCUUCGGGUUGUAAAGCACUUUCAGCGAGGAGGCGUUACCCGCAGAAGAAGCACCGGCUAACUCCGUGCCAGCAGCCGCGGUAAUAC